rnacentral:lncRNA from 1 species
GUGGGGCUGGCAACACUGAGCUGCUGUUACCAUGUCAGAGGUAUUUGAGCCACAGCAACUCCAUCUUAAAUAGGAGCUGGGUGAAAUGAGGCUGAGACCUACUGGGCUGCAUUCCCAGAUAGUUGAGGCAUUCUAUGUCACAGGGUGAGGUAAGAGGUCAACACAAAAUACAGGUCAUAAAGACCUUGCUGAUAAAACAGCUUGCAGUAAAAAAGCCAGCUAAAACCCACCAAAACCAAUAUGGCGAGGAGAGUGACCUCUGGUCAUCCUCAUUGCUACACUCCCACCAGCGCCGUGACAGUUUACAAAUGCCAGGGCAAUGUCAGGAAGUUAUCCUAUAUGGUCUAAAAGGGGAGGCAUGAAUAAUCCGCCCCUUGUUUAGCAUAUCAUCAAGAAAUAACCAUAAAAAUGGGCAACCCGAGGGCUGCUCUGUCCAUGGAGUAGCCAUUUUUUAUUCCUUUACUUUCCUAAUAAUCUUGCUUUCACUUUAUGGACUCACCCUGAAUUCUUUCCUGCUCAAGACCCAAGAACCUUCUCUUGGGGUCUGGAUCAGGACCCCUUUCCUGUAACAUCUUUCUGGUGACCACAAAGGGAUUAUAGUGUGAAAACCCCCUUCCCAAAGCCUAACUUUGGGUAAGUGGUGGGGUCUGGUAACAUCUUUCUCACUAACCCUGAAGGCACAAUACUAAAGAAGCCCCAAUACUAAAGAAGCCCCCGACCCAAAAAAAAUAGACUACAGCACUGAUUGGAUGGCUUUGGGUAAGUGGGGCGCAUUUACCCGGGUAAAGGAUGGGGCUGGGUUAGAGGCCCAACUUAGGGGAGUUAGAGCCUCUCCUAAGACAGAGCAGGUUAGAGGCCCUUCUUAAUAAAAGGCAAGGGCACUUGACUAGCCUUGGGUUAGAGUCCUAACUUAGGAGGGUUAGAGUCCCUUCUAAUAUUUAGGGGGUUAAAGUCCCCUCUCAGAAAAGUCCCUCUCGUAAAGUCCCUCUUGGCUAAGAAUGGGUUUGGCCCUACGGGAUGUUAACUGCUUUUCUCUUUGGAAUAAUCUGCCUUUCGCUCUUUGCUAAUGGCUGUGGGUGACAGGAUUAGGCAUGUACAGCAUUGUGGUACACGGGGAACUUUUUCCUCCCUAAAAGGGGGAACUUAAGAGCUGAUGAGACUGCAGGAAAAGAUCCCUUCACUACUGACAAGCAGCCACCUGAACUUUUCAGCGUUGCUGCAAUGGGUGGUUUUUUCUCUGGGCUCUGUGAGCGUCUCGCCUCCCCCACCCUGCCUCAGGCAAUGCUUUCCUUUCUGUCUCCCUCUGUCUCUCUGCAAACUGGUUAAAUGGUAAAAAUCACUGCUUGUCUCCUCUGUAAAGUUUUGAUUAAUGGGAAAAAGGAUUUGUGAGGCUAGUCGUAAGCUGCAGCAAAUUUGGUGUGCUUUGUGUGUCUUUCUAUAUUGUUCUGCCACAAAGAGGGGUAACUUAGGAUAGAACAUGGGCAUAGGACACCUGUAAGCCCGCUUUUCAAGAUGGCCCAGCAAACUGGUCAGUUAUGUCCUUGGGAGCUUGACCUUGUAACCAUAUGGCCGUGCUUUCUCUUUUCAGAAUGGUGGCCUGGGUUCAAGGUUUGAUUCGUGUCUUAGGGAUGAGUCCUUUAUUCUCUGUCUGUGUAUUUAUAUAUGUUGCAUAUGUGAUAUAAAAGAGCUUUGAUUAAUUGGUUUAAAAAUAAUAAGCGCUUAAAUCAAAUAUUUUAUGAGAAAAGUAAAAAGUGUAAUGUCUUUUAGUUCAUGUGACUUAAGUAAUCUUUGAGAAAUAAAGAUAGUUUUAAAAAUAUUGGUAAAAUAAAGACAUUUGGUCUAAAGUUAAAUAGGUCAAAUAUUAAGUUUACUUAAUGCUUUAAGGUCAUAAACUGCUUCUUUGACUUUUGAAAAUUGUUCAAUUUACCUACUUUGGCGCAUUAGUUCUAGAUAAGGCCAGGGACAUGUGGAGUUAGCCACACCCCCUAGCUAUGCUGGAGUCAGCCCUCAUCUGCACUUCUGCCUGGUGUGUCCUGAGCUAGGCUCCACACUUGGCACAUGAUUAAAAUUGCUUCCUAACCAGGUUUUUCACCAGAAGUAAAAGUUGCUAAGGGUUAACAUUGUAACGUGUAAUUAAGACUACUGAAGAAACAGUUCUACCUGUAAGGCAUGUAAGGAAAGCAGAAUGUGUUUUUGGUAAAAGAUAAUAAGAAGUCAUGGGAAUGUGGAUUUUUCUGCCUGGAUUAAAAGGUUAAAAGUUUAAGGAAAUUUUGGAAGGUUUGUGAAAAAAAUUAAUAUUGUAAAAGAAAUUCUGUGUGUAAACAUAUUGGCUAAAAUAAGAGAAGUAUUUUAUUCAGUUUUUCUGUAAACUCAACAUUGGAAUAAAAGCACAACAGGUUUCUUUCUUUUUUUUUUUUUUUUUUUUUUUUUUUUUAGAGAUGGAGUUUCACUCUUUUUGCCCAGGCUAGAGUGCAGUGGUGCAAUUUCAGCUCACUGCAACCUCUGCCUCCUGGGUUCAAGCGAUCCUCCUGCCCCAGCCUCCUGAGUAGCUGGGAUUACAGGCAUCCACCACCAUACCCAGCUAACUUUGUACUUUUAGUAGAGAUGGGGUUUCUCCAUGUUGGUCAGGCUGGUCUCAAACUCCUGACCUCAGGUGAUCCACCUGCCUCAAUCUCCCAAAGUGCUGGGACUACAGGCAUGAGCCACUGCGCCCAGCCAUUUCUCUUAAAGCAAAAACCUGCUUAUAAUCUGCUCUUUAACAAAAAUUGUAAAGGUUUAUAUAAGGUUUAUGAAAAUCUUACCUUAUGGUCAAACUGAUGAAGAUUAAAUAUAUUUGUCUAUAAGGUUUUAUUAAGAAUUGAGUCUGACAUCAAUAAUGCACUAAUGCAAAAGUGACAUUUGGCUUAUUUGGUAUAAAAAUCAUACAGGGAGCACUGUCAAAUAUAAAAUAGUGUGUGGCUUUCUGUGUUCCAAAAUAAUGGGAAAUUCCUAUAAUUCUGAUAUGACUUACUGUAUGUUAAUUAAUAAUUAUAAUUGUUACAUAAAAUCAUUGUAUGCCACAAAGGUAACCAAAUUUCCUUUGUCAAUCAUGUUUUUUACUGUGGCUGUCCUAAAACUUUUUGUCAUCCACAAAAAAAAUUGUUGUCUUGUUUUGGUCCUCUUUGGAAGAUGGUUUAUAACUAGUUAUAGAGCUCUAACAAGUGCUCUUAAAUGCAGGUUUCUGAUAACUUUGGAAAUUGUGACAUUAGAAUAGAGGAAAAAACUUUCAGGACUCUCGUGAAGAGCUGAAAUGUUCAUGAAUAUCAAGCAGAACAGCAGUUAACCUGAAUUGACUGAACCAGUAAAAGUCUAAAGUGGCUGGUGCAGUGGCUCCUGCCUGUUAAUCCCAGCACUUUAGGAGUCCAAGGCAGGUGAAUCACAAGAAAUUCCAGACCAGCCUGGCCAAUAUGGUGAAACCCCAUCUCUACUAAAAAUACAAAAAAAAAUUAGCUGAGCAUGGUGGCAGGUGCCUGUAGUCCCAGCUACUCAGGAGGCUGAGGCAGGAGAAUUGCUUGAACCUGGGAGGUUGCAGUGAGCUGAGAUCAUGCCACUGCACUCCAGCCUGGGUGACAAAGUGAGACUCCAUCUUAAAAAAAAAAAAAAAAAAAAAAAAAGACUAAAGUAAUCUUUUUAAACUUUUUGCUUAAAAUGUUACUGUUUUGUUUUGUUUUUCAGAGUCAAGAAAACUUUUCUUUUGAGCUAUUUAAAGCUUUUAACAAUUGAGUAAAGUAUACUACUGUGAACAAAAUUUGGAGCACAUUUGUUUCUCUCUACCUGAUUUCUCCAGAAUUUGAAAACUAGUUGCGAGUAUUCUUAAUUUAAUGACAGUAUAGCUAUUUGCAUAAGUGCAAAAAGAAUCUGUUUUCUUUUGCAAAUUGACACAAUUAGAGAAACUGGUUAUUUUACCAAGGCUUUAACUGGAAUGGUGUGCUUUCCUUUAAGGAAUCAUACUUGACUUGUAAAGCCAGUAAGAGU